ensembl:snRNA U6 U6 spliceosomal RNA
GUUCACUUCGGCAGUACAUAACACUAAAAUUGGAACGAUACAGAGAAGAUGACCAUGGCCCCUGCGCAAGGAAGACACAGAUUUGUGAAGUGUUCCAUAUUUCU